rnacentral:rRNA from 1 species
CUUGUCCACUCCAGGGGGACAACAGUUGGAAACAGCUGCUAAUACCCCAUAAGCCUAAGGGUUAAAGGAGCAAUCCGGGAGAGGAGAGACUCGCGUCCUAUCAGCUAAUACGUGAGAUAAUGGCUCACCUAUGCUAAGACGGGUAACCGGACUGAGAGGUCGAACGGUCACACUGGAACUGAGACACGGUCCAGACUCCUACGGGAGGCAGCAGUGGGGAAUCUUGGGCAAUGGGGGCAACCCUGACCCAGCGACGCCGCGUGGGUGAAGAAAUUCUUCGGAAUGUAAAGCCCUGUUGUAUGGGAAGAUAAUGACGGUACCAUACCAGAAAGCCCCGGCAAACUACGUGCCAGCAGCCGCGGUAAUACGUAGGGGGCAAGCGUUGUCCGGAAUUACUGGGCGUAAAGCGCACGCAGGCGGAAUUGUAAGUCCGUAGUAAAAUGCAAAGGCUCAACCUUUGUUUGUCGACGGAUACUGCAAAUCUACAGUAUGUGAUAGGGAAGUGGAAUUCCAGGUGUAGCGGUGAAAUGCGUAUAUAUCUGGAGGAACACCAGUGGCGAAAGCGACUUCCUG